CGAUAUUUUUAUUAAAAAUAAACUAAAUUACAGAAUCGUUAAACAUUCGAUGUUUAAAUAAGCAAAUAUAAAUAUAGUAAUCAACACUCGUCUGAAAUCGAGUCGAUCUUCUGAAUCAGAAUCCGAAAUAUCUGAUUCUAAUGCAGACGGUAUGGUGGACUUUAAAGUGGAAGCCAUGUGCGUCAUGUCAAGUCCGGAAGUUUUCAAAGUCUUAUUGAGUUUAUUGAUAUAAAAUUUCAUGGCAUUGAACUUCUUCUUGUAUUUGGAGACGUCUUUCUGACUCUCGUUACACUUGUUCAGAAAAUGAAAACAAAAAUGAGUUUGAUAAUCAACAAAAUUAUUGAAAUAUAUUUAAAAUACCUCAAUUUUCUUAAAUUUUUCCGACCAAACUGCAUCUGGUGCUGCAUCAAUAGUCGUGUUUUCGGAGAUAGACUCUUUUCCUUUUCAAUUUAGAGAAGUUCAUCUUUCGUUCGUUGUGCUCACCAUACUGACAGCUUCUCCAAUUCCUAUGAUCCUACUCUUUUUAUUUUUUCCAAAAGUAUUGUUGACCGUCGCUUUGAUAAAUUGCUGCAUUAUAAAAAGUGAAUAAAUAGUGGCAGUGCUGGUUGCGGAACUAGAAGGGCCGGUGCUGGACGAACAGGUGCCAGCGGUGCGGGAGGGGCCGGUGCUGGACGUACUGGUGCUGGUGCAGAAUGAACCGGGAGAUAAAACCGGAAAACAUCUUGGGGAUUGGGUGGUAGAGCCCUCUUACGAGAUAAUUGCUUCACCCUACGUGAUAUUUUUAAAAUCUAAAAAAAAAUUAUAAAUUAAUUAAUUAAUUUAAUAUUUUUUAAACAAACAAUUAAUUAAUUAAUCAUUUCAUGGCAAAUUAAUGAUUAUUAUUUCAAUUUAAAAUCAUUCAAUUUAAUAAUUAUUCAUUAUGAUUUCUUUAAUUUCAUGCAAAUUAAUCAUUAUUAUUUUAAUUUAAUAAUUAAUUAACAAAUUUUUAAUUUCAUUUAAAUUAAUCAUUAUUAUUUCAAUUUAAAAUCAUUCAAUUUAAUAAUUGUUAAUUAACUAAUUUAUAAUUUCAUGCAAAUUAAUUAAUUAAAUUGUUUUAACAAUAAUUAAAUAGUUUUAAAAUAAAAUGAUUAAAUAUUUCAUUAUUAACAAAUUUUUCAAAUCAUUUCAUGUAAAUUUAUUAAUUAAUAUUCAAUUUAAUAAUUCAAUUGUUAAUUUCAUGCCAAAUAAUAAUUUAAUAUACUAAUUGUUAUUUCAAUUGACAAUUAAAAUGAUCAUUUAAUCAUUUAAUUUUACAAUAAAUUUAAUAAUUUAAAAUUUAGUUGACUAAAUAAAUAUAUUUAAUUUUUUACCGCAAAUUAGCUUCUACUUCAAUCCAAAACUUAAGAAAUCUCGAUUUUAGAAAACCU
rnacentral:lncRNA from 1 species